rnacentral:snRNA from 1 species
GUGCUUGCUUCGGCAGCACGUACACUAAAGUUGGAACGAUACAGAGAAGAUUAGCAUGGCCCUGGCGCGAGGAUGACACGCAAAUUCGUGGAGUGUUUCAUAUUUUU